GUUCACUUUGGCAGCACAUAUGCUAAAAUAAGAAUGAUGUAGAGAAGAUUAGCAUGGCCCCGUGAAAGGAUGGCACACACAUUCAUGAAACGCUCCAUAUUCAC